AACGAACGCUGGCGGCAUGCCUAACACAUGCAAGUCGAACGAUACCUUCGGGUCUAGUGGCGCACGGGUGCGUAACGCGUGGGAACCUGCCCUUAGGUUCGGAAUAACUCCCCGAAAGGGGUGCUAAUACCGGAUAAUGUCUUCGGACCAAAGAUUUAUCGCCUUUGGAUGGGCCCGCGUUGGAUUAGCUAGUUGGUAGGGUAAAAGCCUACCAAGGCGGCGAUCCAUAGCUGGUCUGAGAGGAUGACGAGCCACACUGGGACGGGGAGCAGGCCCAGACAACAGGGGACAGGGGGCGGGAGGAUGAUGCAGCGACGGGGCGAGAGCGAUGGCGGCAGGCGCGGGGUGAGUCUCUAGGGCUUGGGGUUGUAAAGCUCUUUUACCCGGGAUGAUAAUAACGGAACCGGAAGAAUAGGCUCCGGCAAACACCGU
rnacentral:rRNA from 1 species